CCCUACGGGGCGCACAACCCCGGAUUUCUGCAGCUGCAGAAAAAUAUCGCUAUGUUGGCCCUUUUUCCCGCUGAUCCAAGGAGCCAAUAUCUGUAUAUCAUUAUUAGUAUGCAGGGAAAUAAUAGACUGCACAAUCUCCUGGGCACUCUGGCUUUGAAUGGGCUUUGCGCAUUUAUAGCAAUACACUUUGCCUAUUCUGGCAAACAACAACCUUAGAUAAUCAUAAAUUUCCGUUUGCGUAGCCACUGUGGAACGGGGGUUGCCUCCGGCAGAACGCUGCUCGAUGGCAAUUGCCGGGGAUAAACCGGAGAUAAAAUCCACAUCCGGUUUUUGCAGCUGUUCAAGGAAUUGGCGGGGGGGC
rnacentral:rRNA from 1 species